rnacentral:rRNA from 1 species
GAUGAACGCUGACAGAAUGCUUAACACAUGCAAGUCUUUGGCGAAGCUGUGCUUGCACAGCCUAGCCAAGGCGGACGGGUGAGUAACGCGUAAGGAACUUGCCCUGCAGUCAGGGAUAACAGACGGAAACGACUGAUAAGACCUGGUAAAGUCAGGCGGACUCAUGUCCAGCCUGAUGAAAAGAGAUGCUGCAGGAGAGCCUUGCGUCCUAUUAGCUUGUUGGUGGGGUAACGGCCCACCAAGGCGAUGAUAGGUAGCCGGCCUGAGAGGGUGGACGGCCACAAGGGGACUGAGAUACGGCAGUUACUCAUACGGGAGGCAGGAGUGGAGAAUAGUGGACAAUGGGGGCAACCCUGAUACAGACAUUCUGUGUGCACGAUGAAGGUUUUCGGAUUGUAAAGUGCUUUCAGCAGAGAAGAAAAAAAUGACGGUACCUGCAGAAGAAGCGACGGCUAAAUACGUG